rnacentral:lncRNA from 1 species
CUGGAAUCAAUGAUUAAUCAAUAAAUAGGGUUUGUGGGGACAAGGGAGAGAAGCAACGGACAGAAGGGUUCGACACCGCUCGUAUUUGGCUGGCUCAAGCUAGAAAAAAGAGGGGGCCAAGAAAAAGGGAGCUUCUAAGGAGGAAGAGGCACAGAAAGGAGGACAGGAUUUAGCAACCUUAUUGAGAAAGUGGAUAGAGGUAGAGAAGGGUGGAGGUGAGAAAAGACAAAGAACUCUGAAGAGAGAAGACAGAGAGGGACCUAAAUGUUGCAACUGUAGCAAGCCAGGACAUUUGGCUAAGGAGUGUGAGGAACCAUGCACGCACUGCGAUAAGGUGGGCCACAAUCACCGAAACUGUGUGUUUUAAUAUAGCAUGCCAUGCCAUGUUAAACUUUGAGUCACUGACACGCGGAAUGGGGGAGGACUGGUUUUGGCAGUUUCAAUGAGGAUAUUAUUACACACACACACACACACAUGCACGAGCAUGCAGAGGGAGAAGGCAGGAGGGAAGAGAGGCAUCCAGAGAGGCAUCCGGACAUGUUAGAGUUGUGUCUGUUAGGAACACAUGUGGGAAAGAGAGAGAGAGAGAGGGACUAAAGGAAAGCAGCUGAGGAAAGCUUUCAAUGCAAAGAGGGCUCGAGGAGAAGAGGAUGAAGGGAAGAAAACACGGAGGAAGAGAAUAGAACAGCGAUGUCUGAGGCAGACAGCCACUCUGGAAGUAUAUCUCUGAUCCAGUCCAUGCUGCUCAGACUGAGCACUGCAGAAAACACGGAUCAACCUCCUAACACACACCCUAACACACCCCAACACCUCAGAACCUCAGUGGAAACAGACAGGGGAUUCUAUGUGACCCCUCAGGAUCACAAUAAUGCAGAGCUCAUAUUCCAAGGGAAGCUCGUUUCAGUGAUUGAGGAUGAUGAUAAUGGUGAUCAUGUUGAUGAUGAUAAUGAUCCACAAUUGGAAGUUCUGACUGAGAGGGACAACGAUCUGGAAUCAUCAGACAGGGAUUCAGAGGAGAGAGAAGAGGGGAAUUCCGGCAUUCUAUUUUUGGACGCAGGAUCGAAAAAACUGGUCGACGAGGAGAAAGAGGAAACCAGCGAAUCCCCUGCUGUGGUUCCCAGAUGGGAGAGAAGGCAGUUGCUACCCUGUCCCCCUGGCCUGGAUGCCAGACCACCGCCUCCCCCCGUUCCCCCCAAGAGGAAGGCUAAACCACCGCUACACCCUACAGGGCCACCGCCGCUGCCCCCUCCACCAGCCCUCGACCCUAGCCAGAGUAUCCCUGUGUUGGGGAGAGUGGUAGGCGAGGGCGCAGGCUGUGAGCUGAGGCCUACAGGGCAUGGGAGAGGGCCUGGAGGCCAGGAGGAGGAUAUGUUGUCAUCCUCAGGGGAUAGGCUGUCUAUGUACUCAGCUGUCAUCCUCAAGUCAGAACGCAGAUUCUCACAGCCCCUUCUGGAUCCUACUCUGGACUCUACAGCACAGAGGGGUGGGGGGGUGCAGCAGUUGGAGACGACUGUGUCCGUGGCAACACAGGACCCUUCCCAGCUGAGGGGGAAGGAUAUAGGGCGCCCCCCUAAAGCCUCUGAGCCGGUGGGGAUGGGGGUAAUGGGGGUACCCAAACCAUUGGAAUCGAUCGCACCCAAGCCGCUUAUACCCAAACCUCCACACAGAAACAGAUCUCUGCCCCAGGGUCCUGAGAGGAGAGCCCAGGACAGUCCAGAUGGAAGUGCCUCUUCUGGGUCUGAAACGAGAGACAUCCCCCCUGACCUCCAGUCUAUACCUCCAGAGACAGAGGGAGUCAGAGAACCACCAGAGCCUAGCGAACACAUCGCAGAUGGGAGCGAGAGCUCCAGAACCCCUGCCGAGUUUAGGUGUAACACGGAGGAGGGAGGUUUGAUGGAAGGGGGGAGGAAUUUAGAAUGCACACAUAAAGUUGUGGUUCAGGACGCUGCAACAUGGGGUGGUGGGGGUGUGCUUGGGUCGAAACACCCAAAUAUUAAGACAAUGAAGGGAGGAAAGGUGAAGAAAUUUGCCAAGAAGAUGAUGAGCAGAUGGAAGCAGAGUCGAGAGGAGAAGAGAGGGAAUGGAGAGAUUCAGGAGGACAACGGAGAAAAAGAGGUGGAGAGCGAAAUGCCAUUGGGGAACCUCCGUCAAGAUCGACAUUCAGUCAGGUUGCACACCAAAAUGUCCGUCAUAGAGGAAGAGGAGGACGAAGAGGAGAAGAGGAGUAGUGAGGCUGCUCCACCGACGAUGGAGCCGCCCAGCCAAGCUGAGACGGAGAGGAAGCCUGUGGGACAGCGUGCACGUUUUCAGAGCUCCUUCAGCUCUUUCAAGUUCAACUUCAGUCCCAUCAGCUUGGUGGACGAGAUUCUAACAGGAGAGGAGUGGUCACCAUUCCUGUCCAUUAAGGACAGUCCCGCCCCCUCACUGUCCGUUUACCAAUCAGAGGCUGCUAGCCAACACGGUGGUGAUGAAGGCGACCAAUUAAAGACUGAACCAGAGUUGCGCCUCCCCAACGACGUUCAACAUAACCACGAGGACAUAGGCCAUUCUUUAUAUGAGGAUGUUCACUUCAGCCAAUCAAGUUCGAAUGAGAUUGUGGACAACCAAUCGGACAAAAGACAACAGGAUGUAGACAACAACAAUGACACUGGAGCUGAUGCAAUUGCUGUCAUCAAACCGAAGAUACUAUUGGACAAUGAUGCAGCGGAGGAGAGUGAGUUGGACCACUCCAGACCCAUAUCUAAGGACAUCCAUGACUCUAAGUCCCCCAUAAGGAACCAAUCAAAGGACCAUCUUGACUUCUCCUGUGUUAAGUCACUUGGAGUUCUGGACAGUUCUGCUCAGAAACAUAAAAUUCAUCUGAGCAAAAAGAGAAAGCACAGACUUCCGGGGCUAAAGACGAGAAAGACCUUCAAGAUAAGACGCACUGCAAUCAAAGCCCCGGAAAUCAAAUUCCUCAAACCCUCUCCUCCUCCCACCCUCUCUCCCACAUCCCUCCCUUCUUCCUCCUCUUCCUGCUCCUCUCCCUCCUAUGUCUUUCCGUCCUCUGUUUUCUACAGCAUCCCUCCGUCCGCUGAAGAACACGACCACGGGACAACACCGACACAGGGCAACUUCUCCGUUAAGACCACUGAAUGCAGCAGAAAGCCAGAUGCAAGUCCUAAGCUGCCUCUGUCCAAGUUCAUGACAGUCCUGAGAGACAAAACCAAGAAGAAGAUUCAAUAGUGAAGAGAACUAGGUCUUGGUGAUCAAAUAGUAACCCAUAGCUCCUUCUACUAGCCCCUACCUGCACCCUACCUCUCGGCCCUACCUGCACCCUACCUCUAUCCACUACCGAACCCUACCUACCUCUAACGCUCCUAACUGCACCCUACCGAGGCCUACCUUGCCCCCUACCUCUAGGCCCUACCUUCACCCUACCUCUAGGCCCUACCUGCCACCCUGACCUGCUAGCCCCUACCUGCCACCCUACUCUUAGCCCCUACCUUCCACCCUACCUCUAGGCCUCUACCUCACCCCAUCCCUCCCCUACCCCUACCUGCACCCUACCUCUAGCCCCACAUGCACCUACCUCUAAGCUUCUGACUGCACCCUACCUCCUAGCCCCUACCUGCACCCACCCACCUCUAGGCCCUACCUGUACCCAACCGGCACCUCACCUCUAGUCCCCUAACCUGCACCUACCCUCUAGCCCCCUACUGCACCCACCUACUAGACCCUACCUGACCCUACUCCAGCCCCUACCUGCACCCUACCUCUAUCCCUACCUUAGCCCAUACCAGCACCCUUACCUCUAGCCCCUACCUCGAGCGCCCUACCGCACCCCUACCUCUGGCCCUACCUGCACCCAGUGGUGUAAAAAUACUUUAAAGUACUACCAAAAGUUUUGAGAAUGACACAAAUAUUAAUUUCUACAAAGUUGGCUGCUUCAAUGCUUCAAUGCCUUUAUUGACAAUUACAUGAAGUUGAUGCAAAGAGUCAAUAUUUGCAGUGUUCUUUUUCAAGACCUCUGCAAUCCACCCUGGCAUGCUGUCAAUUAACUUCUGGGCCACAUCCUGACUGAUGGCAGCCCAUUCUUGUAUAAUCAAGGCUUGGAGUUUGUCAGAAAUUGUGGGUUUUUGUUUGUCCACCUGCCUCUUGAGGAUUGACUACAAAUUCUCAAUGGGAUUAAGUUCUGGGAGUUUCCUGGCCAUGGACCCAAAAUAUUGAUAUUUUGUUCCCCAAGCCACUUAGUUAUCACUUUUUCCAUAUGGCAAGGUGCUCCAUCAUGCUGGAAAAGGCAUUGUUCGUCACCAAACUGUUCCUGGAUGGUUUGGAGAAAUUGCUCUCGGAGGAUGUGUUGGUACCAUUCUUUAUUCAUGGCUGUGUUCUUAGGCAAAAUUGUGAGUGAGCCCACUCCCUUGGCUGAGAAGCAACCUUACACAUGAAUGGUCUCAGGAUACCUUGCUGUUGGCAUGUCACAGGACUGAUGGUAGCGCUCACCUUGUCUUCUCAGGACAAGCUUUUUUUCCAGAUGCCCCAAACAAUCGGAAAGGGGAUUCAUCAGAGAAAAUGACUUUACCCCAGUCCUCAGCAGUCCAAUCCCUGUACCUUUUGCAGAAUAUCAGUCUGUCCCUGAUGUUUUUCCUGGAGAGAAGUGGCUUCUUUUCUGCCCUUCUUGACACCAGGCCAUCCUCCAGAAGUCUUCGCCUCACUGUGCGUGCAGAUGCACUCACACCUGCCUGCUGCCAUUCCUGAGCAAGCUCUGUACGGGUGGUGCCCUGAUCCCGCAGCUGAAUCAACUUUAGGAGACGGUCCUGGCGCUUGCUGGAAUUUCUUGGGCGCCCUGAAGCCUUCUUCACAACAAUUGAACUGCCCUCCUUGAAGUUCUUGAUGAUCCGAUAAAUAUUUGAUUCAGGUGCAAUCUUACUGGCAGCAAUAUCCUUACCUGUGAAGCCUAUUUGUGCAAAGCAAUGAUGACAGCACAUGUUUCCUUGCAGGUAACCAUGGCUGACAGAGGAAGAACAAUGAUUCCAAGCACCACCCUCUUUUUGAAGCUUCCAGUCUAUUAUUCGAACUCAAUCAGCAUGACAGAGUGAUCUCCAGCCUUGUCCUCGUCAACACUCACACCUGUGUUAACGAGAGAAUCACUGACAUGAUGUCAGCUGGUCCUUUUGUGGCAGUGCUGAAAUGCAGUGGCAAUAUCUUUUGGGAUUCAGUUCAUUUGCAUGGCAAAGAGGGACUUUGCAAUUKAUUGCAAUUCAUCUGAUCACUCUUCAUAACAUUCUGGAGUAUAUGCAAAUUGACCAUUCAAACUGAGGCAGCAGGUUUUGUGAAAUAAAUAUUUGUGUCAUUCUCAAAAAUGUUGGCCAUGACUGUACUUUACUUUACUAUUUAUAUUUUACCUACUUGUACUUUUACUUCACUACAUUCCUAAAGAAAAUAAUGUACUUUUUACUCCAUACAUUUUCCCUGACACCCAAAAGUACUUGUUACAUUUUGACAGGAAAAUGGUCCAAUUCACACACUUAUCAAGAGAACAUCCCUGGUCAUCCCUACUGCCUCUGAUGCAGCCAGUGACCCCAGUCUGC